GAUCCUGGCUCAGGACGAACGCUGGCGGCGCGCCUAACACAUGCAAGUCGAACGAGAGAGAAGGAGCUUGCUUCUUCGAUCGAGUGGCGAACGGGUGAGUAACGCGUGAGGAACCUGCCUCAAAGGGGGGGACAACAGUUGGAAACGACUGCUAAUACCGCAUAAGCCCACGGGUCGGCAUCGACCUGAGGGAAAAGGAGCAAUCCGCUUUGAGAUGGCCUCGCGUCCGAUUAGCUAGUUGGUGAGG
rnacentral:rRNA from 1 species